rnacentral:rRNA from 1 species
CCUACGGGGGGCAGCAGUAGGGAAUCUUCCACAAUGGACGAAAGUCUGAUGGAGCAACGCCGCGUGAGUGAAGAAGGGUUUCGGCUCGUAAAGCUCUGUUGGUAGUGAAGAAAGAUAGAGGUAGUAACUGGCCUUUAUUUGACGGUAAUUACUUAGAAAGUCACGGCUAACUACGUGCCAGCAGCCGCGGUAAUACGUAGGUGGCAAGCGUUGUCCGGAUUUAUUGGGCGUAAGGCGAGUGCAGGCGGGUUAAUAAGUCUGAUGUGAAAGCCGUCGGCUCAACCGGAGAAUUGCAUCAGAAACUGGUAGACUUGAGUACAGAAGAGGAGAGUGGAACUCCAGGUGUAGCGGUGAAAUGCGUAGAUAUAUGGAAGAACACCAGUGGCGAAGGCGGCUCUCUGGACUGCAACUGACGCUGAGGCUCGAAAGCAUGGGUAGCGAACAGGAUUAGAUACCCUAGUAGUC